GAUGCGCUGCCCAGGCUCCUGGGGAUUGCUCACGCAGGGCCUCCAGAGAGACUGGAUGACCCCCAGUGGGGUGAGGCUGUUCCGUCCAAUGUAGGAAACAGGCUCGAGUGCUGUCUUACAUAGGACUUGUCUCUGUUCUGGACAUUUGUGACUUCUCGCCAGGCCAGGAUUUCUCGUCCUGCUUCCAGGGUGAGAGCCCCAGCUGGAGGGAUGUUUCAGGUUCUCCGUGCUGAGGAAGUCAAUGGCUCCACAGUGUACUGAGCACAGGGUUAUGGCUGCAGAGCAGAAAGCUGGCAAGACUUGGGAAGACAAGACUGCUAUCUUCGUGGCAAGUGGAGGGGAGCAGAGUCUGUCCACAACAUCACUUGUUUAUUUAUUGUGCAGAAGGAAGCAGGGCAAACAGGGAAAGAAGGAAAGACCAUCACGAGGGACGACGAUGUAAAGCCACUGGAUCCCUUACAUCUGCCAGCGAUCGGCUGUGAACCUGGCUGUUGACUUUCUAAGGGUCAAUACCAAAGAGAUGCUCAGCCUGCACUGGAGUCGCAGACCCCGUAAGAUUAAAGGCUCCAGCUGCUGCCUGCAACACAGCAAGAAUUGGCUCCAGAUAGAGACAGUUUCCCGUGGAGCCUCAGAAACGGUCUGUGCACCAAACAAAAGCCUUGACCUCUCACGGGAAGAGAGAGGGCUUUUCUUGCCCGGUGAAAUGAGUCCUCUGAGUGGGGGUUGGAGUCAGACAGAAAGAGAAGGCUUAUUCUUCUUCUGUUGAUGAGGGGCCUCACAGGCCAACUUCUGGCCAGGCCGCCUUAUGGACAGAUAUCUAUCUUGUCAAAGAAGGAGUUGAUACAUUCCCAGGGGAAAUCAAAACACCACCCACUCCCCCAACAAACACAACAAAAACUAGCAAGAGGCUUAGCGGAGAGAGCGGCAAGCAAAGGCAACCAGGCAAGGACAGUACUCUGCCUCCUUAGGCAGACACAGAGACCAAGACUCCCAGAACACAGGCCCAGGCAACUCAGUGUCAAACAGGAAAGAGGACCAGUAGGAAGUUAUAACAAUGUGGACAUCUUCUUGGGGUAUCCAUUACAAGGUUAUUUGAAGGACUGGGAGUUGAUGGAGUAGAGGAAGAUGUUUGGGGGCAAGCACAGCAUAUGGUUUAGCUUGCAGUCCCCAUUUGGGUCUAGGUUAUACAAGCACAUACCUUUUUAUAAUAAUGUGCUUGACAACCUGGCUUCUUCACCUCCAACUAUUAGGUAUACACCUUCAAAACAAUGCAACUAGCACAUGAGAACCCCUUUGAUAACAAUAGUAUAUAAUCAAUUAUAAAUAAUAGUACAAGCUUCUCCAGCCCAGGGAACAGUGCAGUUUAGACAGUUUCUAUUCAAAUGAGUUCCCAAUGGACCUAGGUAUGAAUAAGAGAAGGGCCAAUCCAGAUUGAGCUGGUUUGGAUGUAUAUGCCAUGUGUCAAAACCGUGCCUUCUAGUAACCUUUAAGGGGGAUUCCCCCGUUUACCACCUUAUGCCCAUGCCUGAGUGUGCAUAUGAUUAAAUCAAAUGCAUUGUGGGAAGGGACGUGCGAAGUAGAGAAACGAUUGUGUGAUGACCUGAUGUAUCAAUCAAAAUAGAGAGGCACCCAACUACCUGUUAGCCAUCAGGCAGUUCCACCAGCCUGCUACCGGGGACCUAGCAGCAGCUUAGGUCAUCACCUGCCACCACCAGAUCUCGGAGGCCCAUUCUCUAUCUCGUUCCCUAGCUGUCUCUCUCCACUCUGUAUUCCUCAUUCUCUCUCUUGUGUGUUCUCUCUCUCUCUCUCUCUCUCUCUCUCUCUCUCUCUCUCUCUCUCUCUGUCUCCCUCUCUCUCUCUCUUCCCCCUUUUUCCCUCUUUUCCUCCCUCAGUCUGCCUGUCUGCCUGUCUCUAUAUCUCCUCGUGUCCCCACUCAAAAAAGGGCCUUUUGCUCUUCCCUUCUCCAAUAAAUCUCUUACACUAGAUCUGUUGCUUGGCAUAAUUUCUUCAAUUGACUUGCUCCAAAGGUACCCUCCACCCUUGCCGAAUUUUUUCUAUCACCCCCCCCACCCAGCUUAGUAACCAGCUUCUUUUUCUCUUAAACUCCAUAAAGGGGAGCUUUAGAGACUGUCUGGACACUUGAAUACCCUGCGUCACGUGGCUGCCAUCAGUUUUGACAAUGCCGCUCUAUCACCAGCGCUAUGGCUUUGCACUGAGGGAAGUGUGUUUACUUGCUUCUUUUCUGAAUCUCCGUGAACUCUCAUUUUUAAUUCCUUGGGCAAGAGGCCAAGAGCCCGGAAAUCCUGUGACAUCUUCUGGGCUGGGUGACAUUGCAACCACAGCACAUCUGGAUAGCGUGAUCAUCGGCGUCUUUUUGCAGGGCUUGUAUUUCAGCGUGCUGCCGGAACCUGACCGUAUCCUCCUGACUGCACUGUGAGGUCACUAAUGAACAGCUCCAUUACUACUUGUCAGCAGCAAGGAAGGGCAGGAGGAAGUGGAAGUGUCAAGUGUCCCGAGGCCAUCAUCACUAGGUAAUGAUAGGAGGGAGCUUCACUCUGUGUGACAGUUCCCAGAUGUGUUCCUCCCUGCACCUCAGAUGCUUCCCCAAAGGGCUAAGUGCCACUGUUCAUUGAGAUAACCAGCUCAUUACUAAGCUUCUUGUUGGUUCACUAGCUCCUGUGGUGUUUGAAUAUGCUUGACCCAGGCAAUGGCACUAUUAGGGGGUGUGGCCUUGUUGAGGAAGUGUGCCACUGUCAAAGUGGGCAAUGAGACCCUUCUCCUAACCACGUGGGAGCCAGUCUGUUCUUUCAGAACAAGAAAUAGAGCUCUCAGCUCCUCCAGCGCCAUGCCUGCCUGGACACUGCCAUGAUUCCUGUCAUGAUGAUAAUGAACUGAACCUCUGAACCUGUAAGCUAGCCCCGAUUAAAUUAUAAAAGUUGCUGUGGUCACGGUGUCUCUUCAGAGAAACCCUAACUAGGACACACACACACACAAAACACACACCACACACACACACACAAAACACACCACACACACACACACACUCACACACACACCACACCAUACCACAUACACCACACACACACACACACACCACACCAUACCACACACACAUCACACACACACACACUCACAUACACACACACACCACACCACACCACACAUACACACACACACAAAACACACCACACACACACACACACUCACACACACACACCACACCAUACCACACACACCACACACACACACACACCACACCAUACCACACACACAUCACACACACACACACUCACAUACACACACACACCACACCACACCACACAUACACACACACACACACACCACACCAUACCACACACACACACCACACAUACACACACACCACACCACACAUAUACCACACCACACAUACACACACACACCACACACACACACACACAUACACACACCCCACUACCACCCCACACACACUCACAUACACACACACCACACACACACACACAACACCACACCACACACACACAUACACCCCACACCACACAUACACAUACACCCCACACCACACAUACACAUACACACACCCCACACCACACACACACUCACACGCACACACUUUUCUCCUCAUUUCUCCUCUCCUUCUUGCUACCGGACAACUUACCAAUACUCACAUCCUGUCUAGGGCUGGGCACCAUGGCGGUUUUAAAAUGCUCAUCUCUGGUCAGUGCCCUUCCAGUCAAGUGUGAAUAGUGACCUGGCGUGGGCAACCAUGAGGGGCGGAGUCUCAGGAGAUGAAUGGGGGGGCGGUAAGAGGGUCAGGAGAGCACAAAGGUCAGGUCUGGCUAAGGGCUAUACUUCAGUCUGACUCCAUGCAGUACAAACUGCAAGGCAAAGUUGGAGUCCGUAAGGGCAACGGGGUAGCCUCUUGUCUUCCCUGCCAACUGGUUAGGUGCUGAGAUCUGAGGAAGUGGGUAAGGAAGACAGCCUCCUCCAGCCAAGUCCUGUCCUCCUACUCAGCCUCCAGGUCAACUCAGGCUUGGGAGCAAUUUUCCUGAGAAUGGGGCAGUCAGUUGCUACCCACCCCUGUAGCAUCUGACUGGUGAAUAGGGAGAAGCAACUCCUCUGCAGGUCUUCUGGAGAACGGCAGUCUCAGAACUGCUGCUUUCCUGCACCACAUUGCUUGACUGUUUAGUUCAGGGGAGAAGGAGCUAGCAGGACUUGAACCCUGUACCUGAGUAGCUUACAUUCCAAGAAGAUGGGAGGACAGGAAAACAGCGAGAAAACCAGAAAGGCACACCAUACUCAGACAAGGCAAAGACAGCAUCAACAAAAGAGGCAGGGAGAAGAGAUCCGGUUGGGGAAUUCAGAACUGAGGACACUUUACAAGAUAUCCGGUUCCAGCGGACACCUCACCAUGUUCAAAUGUCCCCUAGACUGCUGAGUGGCACUCCUGCUGCUUUACUGUUUGGCGUCACCAGGAGUGGGCGUGGUCUUAGCUUCCCUCACAUCCGCCAGGCUGGAAAUUAGCCAUUUUAUUAGAGUACUGUUGUCUAUUUGGUCCUCUUGAUCUUUUUUUUUUUUUUUUUUCUGGAGUUUGGUCUUAUCUUCCCAUGAUUUUGUGCAGCUGGCUACUCCUUAGCUGUCUCCUCUCUGUCCCUAAACACAUACCUGCCGCGCCCUUCACCCCCAUCACCAGGAUCAAGAAUCUUCUUCUAGGAUAUGGACAGGAAGGGCUGGAGUGACAUUAUCAUCCAGAACAUCCUAUAGAAGGAAGAAUAGAAACACUUUGGGUUUUUGUAAAUAUUUUAUAACUAUUUAUUGUCUUAUAUUUAUUGUCCAUAGUGACGAGGUUUGUGUUUUUAUCAUCACGAUAUUCUUUCUGUAUCAGUGUGGUGACAAAAGCCUAGAUUGCCUAUGACCAUUAAUAUCAUGGUCUUUGGCCACAUUCAAUCCAUUACCCUUCGCUGUCCCCUUAGAAUCUCCUCCCUGUGUCCCGUCUCUGCCACUGUCCUGUGUGGUCUGAAAUGGCAGUUCUCCUGAGCAACAUUGGUUUUCUGUCCUCAUUUUCUUUUAAUUUUCUGACUGGCCAGAAGCCAUGCUAAGUCUUCCUUAAUCAGUACUAGAUCCAGCUCGAGGCCUGGGUCAUGGAGCUGUACCAGUGGGGGAGUCAAUUAAAAGAACAAGCAUCCUUCAUUAAUUAUCUCCUUUCGAUAUGGGCAUAUGACCCUCCUAUUCCAAGCCUGGUGGUCCAGCCUGGAGACUGUAUGCUUUUGAGAAAAGCAACCCUCCUGGAGGUCGGAGUUCAGAAAGGAUCCCAGAGGGCUGGAGGCCUGGAUUCAAUCUCCAAGUUCUUCUUUCAUAUUUUAUCUCUCAAGAUUUCAGCCAGCCAGCCUGUGGCUGACCAGCUCCAGAGCCGGCUGAUAAGUCAGGCUUCCUCUGGUGUUUCCUCUUGACUGCGUUACUCAUUUCACAGGGCCCAGCCGCUGCCUCUGAUGGCUUCCUUACAGUGUUCCACUGUUCCGACUCUUCCACAGCACACAUCUUCCUUCCCAAAGUCCCCACACUGGCUCUGAGCUCACAAACUGUGUCAGUGUCCAGCAGUGAAGCUGGUAAUAGAAGAAGACAGCAGGAUUCAAGGACUUAGUUGAUGUUGGAAGGAGGAAGACUGUCUCCCGACUCUGACUCUCCCGUAGUUGUGCCAGGCCAGAGUAGAGAGGGAAGGAAUCUCGAAUUUUCCUCAUGCCUAACAUCAUCAUAGGAAUUUUAUACACGUGAGGCCAUUUCAUCCUCUCUCUUCUUUUGCUUCAAUUUUUUCCCCCAAGGAGGAAACUGAAUUUGACAGGAGUGCCCAGGGCCACACAGCCAGUAAGUGCUGGCACGAGAUCAAAGACAAUCUGAGUCCAAAGCCUGUGCUCUUUCUAUAUUACCAGUGGAGUGGAGGAUGAGAGAAUCUCAAUGAGAAUGUCUAUGGGGUUGAUUCUCCCACUGAUGGAUGUAAGGGUCCAGGACACCUCGGUGGAGGAGGGGGAGAUGUUCUCAGGAGCAUGCCUAGAAAGCCAGUCCAAAGAUCUCUGUCUCUCUCUGUCUCUCUGUCUGUCUCUCUGUCUCUCUCUCCUCUCUCUGUCUCUCUGUCUGUCUCUCUGUCUCUCUCUCCUCUCUCUGUCUCUGUCUGUCUCUCUGUCUAUCUCUGUCUGUCUCUCGGUCUCUCUCGGUCUCUCUCUGUCUCUCUUUGUCUCUCUCUGUCUCUCUCUCUGUCUCUCUCUCUCUCUCUCUCUCUCUCUCUCUCUCUCUCUCCCCUAAGCUCUGAUGCUUUAGUUGGGGGGGGGGUAUGAGUCUUUAUGCCACAUUACUCCCAUUUUAUUGGCAUCACUCCAGAGCUUCAUGCAGGCUACCUGCAGACAGUAUGUGUGUGUGUGUGUGUGUGUGUGUGUGUGUGUGUGUGUGUGUGUGUGCGUGCAUCAUGUCAGAAUUUAUCCCACACUUGCCCUCACCGAGGACAUUGGAUUUAAGUCUCACUUUACCUGCACGAGUUUGCAGACUUUCCCUGUGUCAGUGUGAUAUGUUCCCAGGUCCCCUCAGUGUUCAUCUCCCCACCUUGAGGAUUGCUUUGAUGGAGAAUGCUUCUCUCCCACAGAGACCCCUUCACACGUCACCUCCACCCACCAGUGACUGCAGGGACAUCUUCGUGUCUCAUCUUUGUGGAGCUCCUAAAGGGAAGGCUGGGUUUCCAUCAGAACUUCGUCCCCACUUGCUUCUCCUGUUCAGUCUAUCCCUGUCCUCCACCCCACCUCCACCCCGUUUCCCAAGUAAUGUCCCCAGAAUACCCCAGCCAGCUCCCUCAGAAUUUGCUCCCCAGGAGAGCUGUCUGGAAACAGAAGAUGUAUCAGGAGUCCCACUGCUCCGGGAUCAGCCGUCCCAUCCCCCAAAACUGGGCACUUCACUUACCCAGAAAGCUGAGCAACGACUUGCCCUGUAGAUCAGAGAACACCCAGGAGUGGAGAAAAGAUGAAAUGAUACCAGGACCAAAGGCAAAGCAUGGAAAAAAAUCCCCUUCAUCUCUGCCUUCUUGUUCAGAGAAGCGUUUCAAAAUGUGAUGUCUGGGGGCUGGUAAGAAGGUUUGGCAGAUAAGGGUGCUUGCUGCCAAUCUUAACAAUAGGAUUUAAUCCUUAGAACACACACGGUGGGAGGUCCCACCCAAUUUCUGCAAGUGAUCCUUUGACUUCCCAUGGGUGACAUGGCACAUCCCCCCCACGCCCUGACUGAAAAUGAAUAAAUGAAUGAGUGGAUGGAUAGAUGAAUAAAUGAAUAGAAUAGCAUUGCCUCUGUUAAAGCCAUUCCCCCUUUAGACAUAGAGAAAGCCCUAGUCACAAGGACAUUUCUCUAAGGGUCAGCUCUCCCAUGAGUGUUCUGAGUAUCAGGUAGCAUGGUGUGGUGAGGGUAGAGAGCUACCAAAAUAAACUGGAGAUCCUGUGAGCCCAGGGCCCCUGGUGGUGACCUGCAGCCCAGUGCAGAUUCAGGGGCUGGAGUCAGCUCUCCCCUGGGGGUUGGGGGAAGGCAUCUCUGACAGAAGGUCGAAGGUAGCUCCCUUAUUCCAGAGAUGGAGAAUUACAGACGUGUCCCACUGUGACUCCAUUCCCAUCACAGAGCCCUUCACACAGCCACCAGAUUAUUCUAACACAGAAGUCUCUAGUAGCCUGCAAAAAAAAAAAAAAAAAAAUAGGGCUCCCUUGAUCUUAGCACCAAGUGCUUGACCCAUGUCCCAGCCAUGGAAACCCUCAACUUUUAGGUCACAUUUAGGGACCAUAAUCCUUCUCCUUCAUCUGGUCCUUCCUUGGCUAGCUGGACACUGGCCUCCUGACCUUCAUCCCUUGGGGUUUUUGUUUGUUUUUUGUUUUUGUUUUUUUUUUUUUACAACUCCAGCAUGAUACAUAGAUUACGGAAUUAGACACAUCGUCCGCAAGCCUACAUAAUGCAAACUGACCAUGUAAAAUGACCAGGCUAGGAGCUAAGCUUCUUGGAACUGCCUGGGUUGAAAAGCUUUGGCACAGGGCUGUUGGUGUCUGUGGCAUCAAGAAACCUUUGACUUCACAUAUUGGGGUACAGAGGAGUCUCUUCCUCAACAGGAUGGCACUGGUGUUGAAAUGAUUGUGGCAUCUCCCAGAUUGUGAUUCCCUGAGGACAACUAUGUCUUGCUCAGACUGGGCAACCCUGAAGACAGGCUGUAUUCUCCCCCAUGGUCUGAAUAUAGCUGAGAACAGGCUGUGUCCCCUUAGGCUGGGGCCUCUGAGGACAGGCGGGGGCUCCUAAAACUGGCACACCUGAAGACAACCUGUGUCCCCUAGGGCUAGGGGUCCCUGAGGACAGGCUGUGUACCUUCAGGCUGGGGGUCCCAGAGGACAGGCUGUGUACCCCCAGGCCUCUCUUGUUCUUUCACCUUCUAUUGAGAAUAGAGCAUAGCUUAGGAGCCCCAGAUGGACUGAGGCAGAGUGGUGUGGGGAGAGCUAGAGAGUGGGUUUGUAGGUGCAAAGACCAAGACCAAGUGAAGGGUUUUGUUCCCUGGUCCACUGAGGGGUGGGGUGCCUUUUCUGACCCAUCUUUCAGUGCAUUCUUUUCUGGGGAUGACUGAGUUGAUAGACCCCUGUCUGCCAAGCUGCACACUCUGUACUUUAGCACCACUCUCAGAGUCCAUAGCCCGUUACCUUCCCCUCAUAAAGGUCCAGAUGUAAGAUUUUAAAAUGAGAAGUGAAAACCAGAAUCAGUUGAUUUAAAUUCAAACCUGCUCAUCAUAGCCCUGAAGCCCAGAUCAACACUGUGCUCCAUGCUCUGUAGUAUUCUCUCUCCCAUCAUUCCCAUAAUCCUGCAGGUGAUGAAGACACGGGCUCAAGUAGGUGACAUAAUUUACUCACGGCCACAAAGCCAGCAAGCAGAACCCACAAAAACACCCCUCAUCUGCCCUGCAUUGUCAGGUAGAAGGGAGGUAUGAAAGCCCGCCCCACAUUCUCUACUGAGUGAUUGACAUCUCCUGUGCCCAACCACGACUAAGUACAAAAAACGUAGGAACUAACAAAAGAGUCCCACAAUGGGCGCCAAUCACUCCUAAGCUAUUCUGAGUCCGCACAAUAGCAGCUGGAGUGGAACUGACCUAAAACUCUA